GAGUUUGAUCCUGGCUCAGGACGAACGCUGGCGGUAUGCUUAACACAUGCAAGUCGAACGAGAAGGAAGAGCUUGCUCUUCCUGAAAGUGCCGAACGGGUGAGUAACGCGUGGGUAACCUACCCUUUGGAAAGGAAUAGCCUCGGGAAACUGGGAGUAAUGCCUUAUAAGAUACGUUUGUCGCAUGGCAUUUGUAUUAAACGCUCCGGCGCCAUAGGAUGGACCCGCGUCCCAUUAGCUAGUUGGUGAGAUAACAGCUCACCAAGGCCACGAUGGGUAACCGGUCUGAGAGGGCGAACGGUCACACUGGAACUGAGACACGGUCCAGACUCCUACGGGAGGCAGCAGUGGGGAAUAUUGCGCAAUGGGGGCAACCCUGACGCAGCAAUACCGCGUGAGUGAAGAAGGUUUUCGGAUCGUAAAGCUCUGUUAUUGGGGAAGAAAAAAAGACGGUACCCAAGAAGAAAGUUCCGGCUAACUACGUGCCAGCAGCCGCGGUAAUACGUAGGGAACAAGCGUUGUCCGGAUUUACUGGGCGUAAAGGGCACGCAGGCGGUUUUUUAAGUCAGAUGUGAAAGGCCACAGCUCAACUGUGGACAUGCAUUUGAAACUGAAAGACUUGAGUAUUGGAGAGGCAAGUGGAAUUCCUAGUGUAGCGGUGAAAUGCGUAGAUAUUAGGAGGAACACCGGUGGCGAAGGCGGCUUGCUGGA
rnacentral:rRNA from 1 species